rnacentral:rRNA from 1 species
GUAGGGAAUAUUGGACAAUGGGCGGAAGCCUGAUCCAGCCAUGCCGCGUGGAGGAUGACUGCCCUCUGGGUUGUAAACUCCUUUUGUACAGGAAGAAACCUCCUCAUUUAUGAGUGAGCUGACGGUACUGUAAGAAUAAGCACCGGCUAACUACGUGCCAGCAGCCGCGGUAAUACGGAGGGUGCAAGCGUUAUCCGGAAUCACUGGGUUUAAAGGGUACGUAGGCGGUUAAUUAAGUCAGUAUUGAAAGACUGUCGCUCAACGUCGGAUGGAGUAUUGAUACUGGUUAAGUUGAAUCAGGUUAGAGUUGGCGGAAUUGGUCAUGUAGCGGUGAAAUGCUUAGAUAUGACUUGGAACACCGAUAGCGAAGGCAGCUGACUGAGCCUUGAUUGACGCUGAGGUACGAAAGUGUGGGUAGCGAACAGGAUUAGAUACCCCUGUAGUCC